rnacentral:rRNA from 1 species
CCUACGGGUGACAGCAGUGGGGAAUAUUGCACAAUGGGGGAAACCCUGAUGCAGCGACGCCGCGUGAGUGAAGAAGGAAUUCGUUAUGUAAAGCUCUAUCAGCAGGGAAGAAAAUGACGGUACCUGAGUAAGAAGCCCCGGCUAACUCCGUGCCAGCAGCCGCGGUCAUACGUAGGGGGCAAGCGUUAUCCGGAUUUACUGGGUGUAAAGGGAGCGUAGACGGCAGUGCAAGUCUGGAGUGAAAGGCGGGGGCUCAACCCCCGGACUGCUCUGGAAACUGUACGGCUGGAGUGCAGGAGAGGUAAGUGGAAUUCCUCGUGUAGCGGUGAACUGCGUAGAUAUUAGGAGGUACCCCAGUGGCGAAGGCGGCUUACUGGACUGUAACUGACGUUGCGGCUC